UACGGGGGGAGCAAGCGUUAUCCGGAUUCACUGGGCUUAAAGGGUGCGUAGGUGGGCAGUUAAGUCAGUGGUGAAAUCUCCGGGCUUAACCCGGAAACUGCCAUUGAUACUAUCUGUCUUGAAUAUCGUGGAGGUAAGCGGAAUAUGUCAUGUAGCGGUGAAAUGCUUAGAUAUGACAUAGAACACCAAUGGCGAAGGCAGCUUACUACCCGAAUAUUGACGCUGAGGCACGAAAGCGUGGGGAUCAAACAGG
rnacentral:rRNA from 1 species